CCUACGGGAGGCAGCAGUGAGGAAUAUUGGUCAAUGGACGCAAGUCUGAACCAGCCAUGCCGCGUGCAGGAAGAAGGUGCUAUGCAUUGUAAACUGCUUUUAUACGGGGGUAAGGACAGAUACGUGUAUCUGGAUGAAAGGACCGUAUGAAUAAGGAUCGGCUAACUCCGUGCCAGCAGCCGCGGUAAUACGGAGGAUCCGAGCGUUAUCCGGAUUUAUUGGGUUGAAAGGGUGCGUAGGCGGUCAGGUAAGUGAGAGGUGAAAGCUCGAUGCUCAACAUCGAAACUGCCUCUGAUACUGUCUGACUAGAGUGUAGUUGCGGACGGCGGAAUGUGUGGUGUAGCGGUGAAAUUCUUAGAUAUCACCCAGAACACCGAUUGCGAAGGCAGCUUUCCACGCUAUUACUGCCGCUGAGGCCCGAAAGCGUGGGGAGCGAACAGGAUUAGAUACCCUGGUAGUC
rnacentral:rRNA from 1 species